AAAUCACCUACAGCUUGCGUUAAUCUAUUUUUUUCAUGAGAUGAUCUGUUUUCUUCUGCUUUCUCUAUAUUAUAAAUUUAGCUAAUGACCGCAAACACCAGUUCAGGCAAAACAAAGCCAGGAAAAACACUAAGUGAAUUAAAGAAAUCGAAAGCUUGUUUUAUUUCUUCUCUGUUUGCUUUUUCUAUGCUGCCUGCCAGGUGCAAACGACAGAGCCUAUAAUAAUGAUUGACAGGGAGCUGUGGAUGUCUACAUUUAAUUAUAUUGUUCAUACUUCCACCAAUACAUAGAACACAGGGAUAGGUCAAAGCCCUGGGACGUUUAAGCCAAUCCGGGUAACAUAAAC